rnacentral:lncRNA from 1 species
ACACCAUAAAACAAACCAUCAUUGUUGUUAUACAGAAUAUCUUGAUAUUCCCAGCAAUUUCCUUUUCCACCAAUCCAAGUCCAUUUGGCGUCCCCAACCCUAGCAUAAGAGAGUUGAUUAUUGGGCAAUUGUACUCGGAGUACUGUGCAGUUUCCUUGGGAGGGAUUGCAAGAAAGAACUGUUGGAAUUGAUCUCACGGUAAACAAACCAAGAGAAAAAUAAGGGAGACAAAGUCUCCACCCUCUCACGAGUGUGCCUUGAUCGGGAGCACAUAUAACAACUUUUGGUUCUGGUCCCAUGUACCCAACACACACAUAUAUAAGGAAAAAAAGGGGGUUUUGUUACUGAUAACAGAACCACAAUCAAAGCCUCCUAACUGCCGAUCCUAAACGUGUGGUGAGGUACGUGAAGACCAUCGACCACCACCGGCCGCCGUGAAGACAGUGCUGGCGGUUUCCUCCUGCCAUCGGCAAGGCUCCUGGAGCAGCUGCUGCAUCUCCACAAGUGCCUGCUGCCAUCUACGUCACCCAGGUGGUGUUGCCCUUCUUCCCCAGGCAUGUCUUCACUGUCGGAGACCCCAAGGUGCCGCCAUGGGCUAUCUCCUGCUGAUCCCUGCCAAUCACGGUUAGUCACUACUAUUCCGCAUAAGAGGUGUUCUAAUCACGAGAUCAAGAUCAUGGGUUAAUUUAAUCUAAAGGAAUUAUGUCUAACAUUGGUAUCUAGAGCAAGGUAAAUCUCGGUUAGAACCCUAACUUGGCUUCUGCUUAAUGUAAUUACUAUCAUGACGUCCAACUGUUUUUGGGUUAUUGCAAAUUGGGUGAAAUUAAGAUCUAAUGUUGUUUCUGUUAAGCACCUAAUGAGGCAUGUUUACAUGUCUAUGCCGCAAUCCGAAUGAUCACCCUUUUUAGCACUAAUCGCUUUCGGUUAAUGUUUAAAGCCUCAAGAUUAUAUAUUUUCGGCUAACCAUGUUUAAGCCCAUUGUUUUCUGUUAAAGAUGUUUAAUCAAGUUUAGUGAUCAUUUUAUCUGUUAGUUGCAAUUAGCUCUAUUUGCGGCUCAAAUCUCAGGAUGUAAAUCAGGAGGUGAUUGGGCAAACUAAUGAAAUCCCCAAUAUUCCCAAUCAACCGAAACCCAAACCCUAGAAAAAUUCCCCAAACCAGAACGCGAAAGCUGAAAUUGAGCGAAGAAAUGGAUUGGCCUUCACCUAAUGACGUCGUGCCGGUGCUCUCCUUCGGGAUCCCGACACCGGCGACGCCGCUGUCUCACGGGGAAAGAAUUGGCCGGCCACGCCGCCCUUAUGGACGCAAACGCCGUGUGGCCCCUGUGCCGCAAACGUCGUCGUCUACUCCCAAAGAUCAGGCGCCGGCGGUCGCCUCCCCAACUCGCCGUCGAGCGCCUCGUGCGCGUCGCCGGCACGGACUGCCUCCCAGCGCACCAUGAGGUCGACACGGCUAGCACCGUUCGGUGGAGGAGCGCGCGGCCUUGAGCCUGCAGGCACGCUGCUCCGACGAACGGGGCUACCGCACCGCCAUGGCCGGCGUGCCUUGGGUCGCCGCCGGGAUCGCCUCUCCUGUGGAGCCGUGGAAAUCGGGGGGAGAAGGGGAAAUGAGGCUAGGGUUUGACCCAGUGCCGAUUUUGCUCGAGCUCGAGCUAAUCUGGCCCGUCGAUUCCACCGGACGGUCGCGAUCGACGCGGAGCUCAGGGCGUCUGCUGGCGCUUAACCCUGCCAAAUGAAUAAGUGGGCUACGACCCAACUUAUUUUUUUUAACGUUCGGUGCAUUUUCUCUGCUAGCCCGAACUUUUAACGAGCAGUACAGUCCGAAAUUGAAGUUAAGUGCUAUUUUUUUCAGUGCUUUUCUAAAUUAUGAUUAUCCUCAAAAUGUUUUUUGCACUGUUAUAAACUGAAAAUAGCCAGAAAAGUUUUCUUGUAAAUCUAACUUGAGUUUUCUGAGUGGAACCUACAAGAAUAUUUUCUUGGAAAAUUCAUGUGCCCAAGGUCAUGUAAAAUAAUGCUAAUAAUGAUAAAGUUUUCUUAAUGAAAAACCUUGGGUAAUUAUGGGCCAGAUUAUGUUCUUUAAAAAAGGUGCAUUUGAUGUAUGUUACUUUUUUUUGGCAACAAUGUAUUAAUUGCCUGAAGAUAUGUUAAGAUCGUAUAUAAAAUUUAUCGUAGGAAAUUUUAUCUAGAGAUAUUUAUGUGUGGUCAUGUUAAUGUCAUUUUAUGGCAAUUCUUAAUGAUGGUCGUACAAUGCUAUUUGUUUUGAAGAUAUUUUAUUUAGAUUUUUUUUAUUGUGAAAUUCGUAUUGAGGCAAGCCUUAUGGCAUCUCUUAAUGAUGUGAUCCGUACUAAUGGCUGAGGCCACCUCACAAAAAAAAUGUUAAUGGUCGCAUUGGUGGUUUUCCGCGCCACACUAUGCACCUAAUAAUGUUGGGCUAGUGUUCUCGUUGAACAAUACUAAUGUCUUAUGUUGUUACCUUUUUUAUUAAUAUAUGCAUUAUUGAAAUAAGCAUAAUGACCCGAAAUGAUGUUGAUAAAAUUUGCUAAAGCACAUGUCAUUUACUUGACAUUUUCAUUUACCAAAUAUUACUAUUUGGUGAAUCCUCAUGGUAUUUGAUGUACAAAUUUUAUCAACUGUAAAUGUUAUAAUAUAUUCAUCGUGUUCACUGUGAAUGCCAAGUUUAACUUUUAUUCAGUGACAAUGACAAUCAUUUUUGUUAAUUCGAGUGUCAGUUUCAUUGUGUGUCAUUGAGAAUUUUAAUGAUCAUUUUGACACUAAGGUUUAAUGUUAUUUUCAAUGUCAAUCAAGUGACAAAAUUGAAAACAAGAUGUUUACAACAUGUUGUGAAUCCUUGUGUCCCAUGACACAUUUGAGUGGAUUGUAUUGUUGCCUUUGUGUUAAUGAAUGUUAUUAGUAUUGCUAAUGUCAUUGUUGGUCACUAUGUGACUUUAUGUUUUUCUAGUCAAAAUGGAACUAAAGAGAUGUUUUGAUUAGAUAUUUAAUGAGCAAAUAUUAUUAUGGCAUAUGAUGAUAUUCUGACCGACGUUGAUUACUUUUCAUGUGCCAUAUAUAAAUAAGUAAGGUUAUUUUAUGUUUUCUGCCCAACGGUGAUACAGAUUGAAAUAAUAAUUAAGCAUGUCUUUAAUUCAUCUCAUUGCAUGAUUAAUUUAUGCUUAUGUUUUAUUAUGAUGUUCAUAAAGUUUCCUCCUCUUUUCAAGUAAUGAACUUUACUAAUGAUGCCAAAUUUUAUUUUUGGCAUAGACAAGGUUUAUGUAAAUAACUUUCCCAAGUGGAGAGUAGAGAUCCCUGUCUCGUGUAAGAAAACUCCCAAUGUUUCUACCACUAAUGUUGAAGGUUGAUGUUAAUGUACACAUUGGGAGUGGCCUCAUAAGUUGCAUGUGUCAUCAUGCACAUUACUAAUGCAAAGGAGGUUGAAGUCAAAACUAUUGGAUUUAUUCCACUAGCAUCUAGAGAUGGAUUAAUUCUUCAUCUUAUUGAUGAUGUUUGUUCAUGCUCCUAGUUAUUGGAGAAACUUAUCUUUGUCUCUCCAACAGAUGACAUGAUUUUGUAUGUUAUUAAGUCAACUCCAAUUAUGUAAUGUUAGUCCCACCUUAGGGUGAGGCAAGCUAUGUUUUUUCGCCUGAAUGGAUUAUUUGUAAAGAUUAUGUGUUACAUUACAAAUAAAGAUGUAAGAGAAGUGUAAAUAAUGAGACCUCAUCAAAAAUUAUGGUUUUAGACCACAUUUCGAGGGGGAGAAUGGAAGCCCCAUUUAAUAUGAGAUAUAUCACGUUCACUUCUCCUACUUAGAUCCAAAUAUGCAUGUUAAUUCUCUAAUUAAAGAUGGAACCAGCGAGAAGUCUUAGUUGGAGAAUGUAUGAAAAGCACAUAGUAAUGUCGGUUCUCUAAUUAAGAUGCAACAAGUCUUAUUUAGAAAAAUGAAUAAAAUUACUCCUUUUAUUAUGUGUACUUAAUACCUUAUGAGCAUUAUGUUGAUUAUAUAUAUGACCAACAUCAUUUAUAAUCAUAUAUCACACUUCACUCAAGUGGCAAGUUUUGUCAAUAUCAUGUGGCUUGUGGUUAUAUUUCUGACUAUUGUCAUUUAUAAUCAUUUGUCACAAUUCAUUAAGUUCGUUUCCAUCUUCAGCCCAACGGUGUUGUGAUUUAGAACUGAAAUGAUUAUUAUCAAGAUAUUGGAUAUAUUUUCCAUUCUUUAAAUAAUGUGAUCAUCCGGAAACUGGAGCGUAUGAACAUGAAUCUUAAGGAUAACUCCAUUAGAUCUUGUUCGUAUGCAUCAGGUAAGUUGAGAAGAAAUGCAUAUUGCAACACUUAAUGUUGAGACUUAACAAUUUCCGUGUGAUUCAUAAUGUGUGUGAAUGAUCAUCUUAGAGGCUUGUGUUAAUGAGCUCUAAUGAUAUAUGGAACUCAAUAGAGUUUCCUCACUUAGUUGUUUUGACGCUUGUGUUAUUAUUACAAUAUGCUCUUGCGUUGACUAUGUUAAGAAUGUAUGCAUGACUUAACCGUAAGGUUUCGUCAAAUAGAUGAAGUUAACACAAGGUAUGUUGCCCCAAGAAAUUCAAUUAUGAAAUAAUAAGAGCGUCGGGACACUCAUACCAUAAAACUAGGGGGAGUAAGUAUACUAUCUUGAGAAGAUGGAAUAUUUUUGGCAGGCCAAGAAUUUUCUAUCUUCUAUUUAUGACAUAAAGGAUCUUGGUCAUGCCCUAUACUUUCUUUGUAUUGAGUUUCGCCAAGAUAUAGGUCCAAAAGGGGUAUAAGUUUUAUUAUGACGACAUACGUCGAUAGAGUACGAAAGAAAAUAGUAUGUAGUAGUACUCUUAUCGCGCCUGCUACUAAAGUCAAGGGCAAUAAAGGUGGACAUUUUAGUGUCUAAGGAACCAUUAUGAACUGAUCAGAUAAUGUCGGUUCCUUAUGCUUCAGCUGUCAGAACCAAUAUGUGUAUUCAAGUAUGAACAUGCCCUUAUUUGUGAUCAGAUAAUUGGCAAAUAUACAAGUAAGUCUAGAAAUGGACCACUGGAAAAGCCGCCAAAUGUCUUACAGAUAUGCAAGACAAUAAAGUUUACAUGCUCAUUAAUACGAAGUCUAAUAACUUCAAUAUCCUUGGAUAUUCAGACAUUAAUUCUGCGAGAUGUGUGGAUCUUAAAGUUUCCACGCUAUGUUACUUAUGUGGCAUGUCAAGAGGAAAAGCUCUAUAAUGACACUGAUGGCAUUAGAAAUAAUGCACUUACUUAUGUGGCAUGUCAAGAGGCUAUUGGGCAGGUUGUAUGUCAAGAAGUUUUAUUCCCGAAAUUAUGGUGGUAGACAACAUUUUGUAACCACCUACUGCAAUAUGAACACGCAGUUCUCUAUCUGAGUAACAACAAGUCAAUUGGUAUUGCCAAAACCAUUGAUAUAAUGUUUCCGUUGUGAAAGAUAGAGUCCAGGAUCAAACCUAUGAUGUAUGAUCUAUAGUCUUUGCGGUUCCGCUUACUAAGGCUUACCAUUUACCCUUUUAUGCCGGCAUGGGUUAGGAAAGCCUUUUGAUCCUGGAAAUUAGGACCAUCUUAUAAACCAACUCCCGUAAAGUAUUAUGUUUACCAUUUCAAGAUAGAAUGGUGUACUAUAGGUACCGAGGUUCAAUGGCAUUUCAUUGGUCAUAGUAACACUUUACCUUGGUGCGUUGCUUCUAUUGAUAGUGGGCUUAUGAUGUUUGUUAACCUUACGAUCAAGGGGGGGAAUGUUGGAAUUGAUCUCACGGUAAACAAACCAAGAGAAAAAUAAGGGAGACAAAGUCUCCACCCUCUCACGAGUGUGCCUUGAUCGGGAGCACAUAUAACAACUUUUGGUUCUAGUCCCAUGUACCCAACACACACAUAUAUAUAAGGAAAAAAAGGGGGUUUUAUUACUGAUAACAGAACCACAAUCAAAGCCUCCUAACUGCCGAUCCUAAACGUGUGGUGAGGUACGUGAAGACCAUCGACCACCACCGGCCACCGUGAAGGCAGUGCUGGCGGUUUCCUCCUGCCAUCGGCAAGGCUCCUGGAGCAGCUGCUGCAUCUCCACAAGUGCCUGCUGCCAUCUACGUCACCCAGGUGGUGUUGCCCUUCUUCCCCAGGCAUGUCUUCACUGUCGGAGACCCCAAGGUGCCGCCAUGGGCUAUCUCCUGCUGAUCCCUGCCAAUCACGGUUAGUCACUACUAUUCCGCAUAAGAGGUGUUCUAAUCACGAGAUUAAGAUCAUGGGUUAAUUUAAUCUAAAGGAAUUAUGUCUAACAAGAACGACCCUCACAUAAAAGAAGAAGCGGGCUUCUUCAUGUGUAAGAUGGUAUGGCUCCGUUUCAGUGUCAAAAUCCGAAGAGAACAGAUAUGUAAAGAACAUCAUAUCCAUCUAGCACGCCCUCUUCAGUGUAGCGCAGUCUAACAUUGUUCAUGGUUUCAGGUGGAGGCAUAGCCAUCUGAGCCCCGGUUGCAGGGUUGACUAGUAUGAGAUUUGAUCGCUUAUCCGCGGUGAUGAGCCAGCCGUGGGAGGAGCCCAUAACGUGGCGUGUGCGGAAGGCAGGCUCCGAUAGAGUGACGUGGUAAAGCUUGUUGGUGGACAUGUUAUGCAGGGUGACCGUGUCAGCAUCACGGUCGCCAGAUGAGUAAACAAGGCAGGGGCUCUGGUUCGGCGAGCACCGCGGAAGACGGCGGGCCUCCAGAUAAAUGAGGUGCCAUGAUCGACAGACCGCACCUAAGCUGAAGAGAUCAGGGAUCUCGAGAGUGCCAAAGAUCUGGAGGAGCAGG